CUUUCCACCCGGUGACCGUCCAUGAUGUUCGUCUUAUUCUUAGCCCGAGCUCCGUUUUUGCUCGGAGCUAUAUCGCAAUCCGGUGUCUGGCAUGUGCGCUCUUUCCGUCUUCCUUCAUUGUUGCUUACGUUGUAGCGCUCUCCCUCUUCCUUCGUUGUUGCUUACGCUGUAUUUGCUGUUGUUUCUGUUUACCGGCUGGAUCUGGCUAGCUGUCUGUGCUCUCUUUGUGGCCAGCGGCUUGGAGACGGUGGUGGAUAUUGCGGUGGGUGUGGGUGUGCGUCAUGGGGUGGUGCGUGUGCCUGGUCUGCUGCGCGUUCUGCUCCAGGGUGUGGCGGCGUGAGGGAGGCACCAGUCGGUGUGUGCAUGGGGUUGGCCUGGGUAGGAUGGCCUCUAUGGGUGCAUUUUUGCAAGGUCUUGGUAUUUGAGGUGGCCCUGAUGGAUGACGCCUACUUCAGGUCGUUCAUCGACUUCGCAAGCUUCGAGGCGGUGGAGGAGGCACUAGUAGAAAACGGACCAUUAGUACCGGUUUGUAAGGGCCUUUAGUGCCGGUUAUGGAACCGGCACUAAAGUUUCGGCACUAAAGGCCCCCCCCCUUUAGUACCGGUUCGGCACGAACCGGCGCUAAAGUGCCACCACGUGGCGUGAGCUCGCGCCCUGGUACGGGGGACCUUUAGUGUUACCAACCGGUACUAAAGGUUUUUUUUGAAAAUUUUGGAAAAAAAUUGAUUUUUUUGAUUUUUAAUUUUUCUGAAUUAUUUGAUGAUUUAGCCUCUAAUCACCUCUCUUAACUGCUCAAGUGUGGAUCACUCAUUCCAAAUUAUCUAACUUCCCGACCGGUCACCCAUCCCUCUCACUACUCCAACCCGAGCACGCUUAACUUUCAGGUUCUAUUCUCCUUCGUUUCCAAGUCUGCAUUUGUUGUUUUCCUGACAAUAGUAAGAUAUCAAUCCUAUUAACCCUCAGGAGUUUAGCUUGAGCAUGAAGUCACACAUUUCACCGUUUAAGUUUGAAACUAUUAUUCUAAAAAAAUUGUAAUUAUUUAGUAACGCUAAUAUUUCUUGAAUAAGUUUGACCACAGUUUGACCAUAAUUUGACCAGAUUUGACCAAAAUUGAAAAAAUUGAAAUAAUUAUUUAGUAACACUAAUAUUCUUGAAUAAUUAUGUAGUAACACUAAUAUUUCUUGAAUAAGUAGUUUGACCAUAGUUUGACCACAGUUUGACCAGAUUUGAACAAAAUUCAAAAAAACGGAGAUGCUUAUUUAGUAACACUAAUAUUAUUGCGUAAUUAUUUAGUAACACUCUAUAUUUCUUGAAUCAGUUGUUUGACCGGUUUGACAAGAUUUAACCAAAAUUCAAAAAAACAUAAAUUAGAGCAUAUCUUUUUUUCCUUUUACAAUUUGUCAUUUCAAAAAUUGUCCUAAACCCUAAACCCAGGACUUAAAAUGUCGGAAACUCUAUGCUAAACAGUAAAAACUAAGGGUUUAGACCAUAAAACCUAACCCUAAACGCUGAAAUCUAAACCCUAGCACUAAACGCUAAAAACGUCCAAAAAAACGUCUAAAACGCCCAAAAACUCUAUUUUCCCUUUGGAAUUUUGUGAUUUUAAAAAAUUGUCGAAACGGAAAACUGGGCAUUUCAGCGGAUCAAUCCUUUUGUUCUGCAAAUUUUGAUAUAUUAUAUGUAUUUUUCUGAAUUAGGAUGAUUUAGUUAUGAUUUUUUCAAGUUUGAAAAUUGCCCUAUAGUGCUGGUUUGUGUCUCCAACCGGUACUAUAGGUCAGACCGCGGGAGUACCGGUUCAUGGCACGAAGCGGUACUAAAGUUUAGACCUUUAGUACCGGUUUGUGCCACGAACCGGUACUAAAGGUGAUCAUGGGGCCCCGGCCUGACGCCAGCCUGCCACCACCCCUUUAGUACCGGUUCGUGCCUCAACACGAACCGGCAUUAAUGCAAAUCCGUUCGAACCGGCACUAAUGGUACCAUUAGUACCGGCUCAAAUACAAACCGGCACUAAUGUGCUUCACGUUUGACCAUUUUUCUACUAAUGAGGAGAAGCUGGUGCCGAUGGCGGACGCGGCAGAGGUCCGGCUGGGCAUCAACGUUGACCUGGACAGCCUGCUAGCGAUCUCGUUCCCCAAGUUGGACUUUGGUUGUGGAGCACCCUUGACCUGCUACAGUCUUGAAGUCUUGAAGUCCUUGGUGGGCGAUGGGAGCGUGGACGCCUACGUGCCAUUGUUUAGCCGCACCAUGGACAACUUCAAGAAGUGCUGCUACUCCCUGCGGGUGCCGCCACUGGUGGCCGCACGGCUUUAGGUGCAUGCAUGGCGCCGUUUCGUGGUAGUAAAACUUUGACAUGGUGGGGUAUCAUAGGGUAAUAGCGGUAUUAAUUUGCAUGGUGAAGUUUUCUUUUUUGAUAUGGAACACCUUGCAUUCCAUUAGGCCCUUCCCAGUGCUCCAUCGUGGACAGGUGCUAAGCAUGCCACAUAAGCGGAAAAAUGACAUGGCACAUCAUUUAAAGAGGAGAGAGAGCACUUUGGUGACCCCAGGAAGAACCAAUGCCAAGCACGAGAACCUAGGCAAACCACUUAAAUGAAACAAUUUGACCAAUGCAUGAAAGACUUUAGGUGUUAACUCAUUAAAUAAAGUGUGCUUAGCAACAACAAGUUAAGCACCUACGCAUUGGGGAGUUGAGUUGCUAAGGUAUUUAAUGCACUUAGCACCUCAUCUAAGCACCAUUGCAUUGGGAGAGGUCUUAGGCUGGUUGUAACGGGGAGUAUCAUGCAUAUGAUAUUAGUAUAUGAUACUACCUCCCUAAUGCAUAGUAUCAUAUAUUAGUAUCAUGUAAUACUCUAUUUAUUGCCAUGCAUGACACAAAGUAGCAUAGCAUUUAUUAUGAUACGGUAUCAUAAUAUGAUACUCCAUCAUCUUUUUCUUCAUUUAAUGCUAUGAUACCUCAUCAAAAUUGCCUAGUUGGCAUGUAUGAUAUUAGCUAUGAUACUAUCAUUAUGACCAACCUUAACAUGUGGUUGCGGCAAGAUCGUCGGCCAAUGCAUGGGUUACAUCAGCGGCGGGAAAGUUCAUGAUGCAUAGAAUAUGAUCACUACGAACUUCCCUAGCACCAAGACUUUGCCAGCACAUGCACUGGUGUGUUACAGUUUCGGGGAGAGAACUCCACUCGGUACUCAAUGAAACCCAAAUGGAGAUGAUAUUUUGCUUCUCCAAAUAAAGUUCCUAGAGCUGCUCUGUCUCUUGCGUCCGAGCACACAGCCUGUUCCAAAUUUAGACAAUCCAUUUCAAAGAUGACUUUGCCUAUACCAAAAUUUUCCGAAAGGUCGAUUGCCUUCAAACAGGAUAUCUCCAUCCGGCGCUCUAGCGAUGCAGCCCCAACCUCCCGUACCAGAUUCAGGAUAGUAUGCACCCUCCAGGUUGAUCUUGACGAACUCCUCAGGUGGUGGCUUCAACUUGCUUGUAUCCUGUUUUACACGCUUUGGAGAGGGCGUAAAAAACUGGCACCGUUCAGCAACAUCAAAAGACAGUUGUGCACUAAAUUCUUUGGGCUCCAGUCUACGUUCACCAUGUCUCGUACUAUUCCUCACAGUCCACCAUUUCCACAAUCGGCAUAUGACCUGAAGCUUGAUGUUUUCCUGCUGGGCAAAAAUACGCUCAAGAAUCUCCAACGGAGAUUGACAUAAAAGCAGCUCCUGUCUCACACCCUCUAGCUGGAUGGUUUGCCAAACUUUUUUAACUUCCUUACAACGAAGGAAAAGAUGGCCGCCAUCUUCAAA
rnacentral:lncRNA from 1 species